UGGGGAAUAUUGGACAAUGGGCGCAAGCCUGAUCAAGCCAUGCCGCGUGAGUGAUGAAGGCCCUAGGGUUGUAAAGCUCUUUCACCGGUGAAGAUAAUGACGGUAACCGGAGAAGAAGCCCCGGCUAACUUCGUGCCAGCAGCCGCGGUAAUACGAAGGGGGCUAGCGUUGUUCGGAUUUACUGGGCGUAAAGCGCACGUAGGCGGACUUUUAAGUCAGGGGUGAAAUCCCGGGGCUCAACCCCGGAACUGCCUUUGAUACUGGAAGUCUUGAGUAUGGUAGAGGUGAGUGGAAUUCCGAGUGUAGAGGUGAAAUUCGUAGAUAUUUGGAGGAACACCAGUGGCGAAGGCGGCUCACUGGACCAUUACUGACGCUGAGGUGCGAAAGCGUGGGGAGCAAACAGG
rnacentral:rRNA from 1 species